rnacentral:rRNA from 1 species
GAUGAACGCUAGCGGCAGGCCUAAUACAUGCAAGUCGAACGGUGGUAGCAAUACCAUAGUGGCGCACGGGUGCGUAACGCGUAACCAACCUGCCUGGAUCUGGGGGGUAGCCCGCCGAAAGGCGGAUUAAUACCGCAUAAGCCACGAGAGCGGCAUCGCUUUUUUGGUAAAGAUUUAUUGGAUUCAGAUGGGGUUGCGUAGCAUUAGCUAGUUGGCGGGGUAACGGCCCACCAAGGCGACGAUGCUUAGGGGACCUGAGAGGGUGAUCCCCCACACUGGCACUGAGAUACGGGCCAGACUCCUACGGGAGGCAGCAGUAGGGAAUAUUGGGCAAUGGGCGAGAGCCUGACCCAGCCAUGCCGCGUGCCGGAUGAAGGCCUUCUGGGUUGUAAACGGCUUU